AAAAGCUGUCUUCAGCAAGGCAGAAGCAGGGACAAGAGUCCCAUCUUCAUCACAAACGCUCUGUACACUUCUCCUUUCUGAAUCAAUGACUUAAAAACAAAACAAAACAUGGAACUCACCACUUGAAGGGACCUUUGUAGAAAAGCUGAAUUAUGGACAACUUAGUUUCACCAGAUACAUUCCCUUGAGGAGAUACAGCCAACAGAAAUACACAGGAAAAUUGCAUUUCUCAUAUCUGCUGCAGCAUAGGAAUGAUAGUAAUGAAAAUAUUCUGCAUUUAGAAAACACCUUUAUUCCAAGGACUC